rnacentral:rRNA from 1 species
AACGAACGCUGGCGGCAGGCUUAACACAUGCAAGUCGAACGCAUCCUUCGGGGUGAGUGGCAGACGGGUGAGUAACGCGUGGGAACGUCCCCUUCAGUUCGGGAUAACCCAGGGAAACUUGGGCUAAUACCGGAUACGUGCGAGAGCAGAAAGAUUUAUCGCUGAAGGAUCGGCCCGCGUCUGAUUAGCUAGUUGGUGGGGUAAUGGCCCACCAAGGCGACGAGCAGUAGCUGGUCUGAGAGGAUGAUCAGCCACAUUGGGACUGAGACACGGCCCAAUCUCCUACGGGAGGCAGCAGUGGGGAAUAUUGGACAAUGGGCGCAAGCCUGAUCCAGCCAUGCCGCGUGAGUGAUGAAGGCCUUAGGGUUGUAAAGCUCUUUCGUCCGGGACGAUAAUGACGGUACCGGAAGAAGAAGCCCCGGCUAACUUCGUGCCAGCAGCCGCGGUAA